GCAGUCAAGACUCACGGGCAACAGAGACUCUAAGAAUGAAAUCUUCUCCAGGAUCAGUGAUUGUGCUACUCUUAAUGUUUGGAGGAAGCAAUGGAGACUCGGUGACCCAGACAGAAGGCCAAGUGACCCUCUCAGAAGGAGCUUCCCUGACUGUAAACUGCUCCUAUGAAACCACACAGUACCCUGCUCUUUUCUGGUAUGUCCAGUAUCCCAGGAGAGGUCCACAGGUCCUCCUGAGUGCCCAGAAGGCCGAUGAUAAGGGAAGCAACAAAGGCUUUGAAGCCACAUACCGCAGAGAAUCAAAAUCCUUCCACUUGGAGAAAGCCUCCGUCCAGGAGUCAGACUCGGCUGUGUACUACUGUGCUCUGAGUGGAGUGUCUGACCUUAUGAUCCACUUUGGUUUAGGAACCAGGAGCUGGGCUACGAAUCUCGAUAACAAAAUAGAGAAAGUACAAGAAACAGUUCAUAAGAACUCA